GCGUAAUUUCCUGUCUCGCUCAUUAUUCUUACUUCUACCAACGACGCAAGACGUGCUAAACGCCUGGUUUGCUAGUUUGAAACAAACCUGUAGUCUUCUUAGGUGGAUACUAGGCAAACAAUGACGGGAUUCUUACGGAGCAUUGGAAUCAAACUUAAAUCAGAUGGUCUGUUCGCUUAUACUCAUAAAAUGGAAGCCACUCAUGUGAACAACUGUGAGGGAAGCCUGUCGAUGAAAUUGCACGAGGUGCCACAAGUAACAAAGAUAGAGAAAUGAACCAGUAAUCAGUCUAGAGAAUCAAAGAGAAAGGGAUAAUUUGAGAUUGGGCAAGAAGUUCGUGAAACUUUCGAAUUCUUGUCUUACAACGACUUCACUGUUACGAUGCCCCGAAGCGAUUUUUAACGAAGAACCGACAGAUUAUCGAUUCCGUUUGACGUCACCAUUUGCGCAGGCCGUCGAUUGAACAAAGAAAGAAGGGUUCCGGAUGGAUUUCGAGCUUCAGAAACAACUUAAGGCACAGACAUCAAAAAUUCGAGAAUAUGUAACAAGUGACCAAAACAAAAUGGUGGAAAAGUCCUCUUGGGAGAUGAUUGCAAUACGCUACAUGGUAAUGAAGGAUUCCCCA